GUGGCUGUGGCUCAGAAGUAGAGCACUUGCCUAGCACACACGAGGCUCUGGGUUCGAUCCUCAGCACCACA
rnacentral:tRNA from 1 species